AUACGGAGGGUGCAAGCGUUAAUCGGAAUUAUUGGGCGUAAAGGGUGCGUAGGUGGUAUAGUAAGUUAUCUGUGAAAGUCCUGGGCUCAACCUGGGGAUGCCAGGUAAUACUGUUAUACUUGAGUAUAGGAGAGGGCAGUGGAAUUUCCGGUGUAGCGGUGAAAUGCGUAGAUAUCGGAAGGAACACUGGUGGCGAAGGCGACUGCCUGGCCUAAUACUGACACUGAGGCACGAAAGCGUGGGUAGCAAACAGGAUUAGAUACCCUGGUAGUCCAUGCUGUAAACGCUGUCAACUAGCCGUUGGUCAUAUAGAGAUGAUAAGUGGCGCAGCUAACGCGAUAAGUUGACCGCCUGGGGAGUACGGUCGCAAGAUUAAAACUCAAAGGAAUUGACGGGGCCCGCACAAGCGGUGGAGCAUAUGGUUUAAUUCGAAGCAACGCGCAGAACCUUACCAACCCUUGACAUCCUAGGACCACCCGAGAGAUCGGGC
rnacentral:rRNA from 1 species